rnacentral:rRNA from 1 species
UGGGGAAUAUUGCACAAUGGGGGAAACCCUGAUGCAGCGACGCCGCGUGGAGGAAGAAGGUCUUCGGAUUGUAAACUCCUGUUGUUGAGGAAGAUAAUGACGGUACUCAACAAGGAAGUGACGGCUAACUACGUGCCAGCAGCCGCGGUAAAACGUAGGUCACAAGCGUUGUCCGGAAUUACUGGGUGUAAAGGGAGCGCAGGCGGGAAGACAAGUUGGAAGUGAAAUCCAUGGGCUCAACCCAUGAACUGCUUUCAAAACUGUUUUUCUUGAGUAGUGCAGAGGUAGGCGGAAUUCCCGGUGUAGCGGUGGAAUGCGUAGAUAUCGGGAGGAACACCAGUGGCGAAGGCGGCCUACUGGGCACCAACUGACGCUGAGGCUCGAAAGUGUGGGUAGCAAACAGGAUUAGAUACCCUGGUAGUCCACACCGUAAACGAUGAUUACUAGGUGUUGGAGGAUUGACCCCUUCAGUGCCGCAGUUAACACAAUAAGUAAUCCACCUGGGGAGUACGACCGCAAGGUUGAAACUCAAAGGAAUUGACGGGGGCCCGCACAAGCAGUGGAGUAUGUGGUUUAAUUCGACGCAACGCGAAGAACCUUACCAAGUCUUGACAUCCUGCGACGGUUCUGGAAACAGAACUUUCCUUCGGGACGCAGAGACAGGUGGUGCAUGGUUGUCGUCAGCUCGUGUCGUGAGAUGUUGGGUUAAGUCCCGCAACGAGCGCAACCCUUAUGGUCAGUUACUACGCAAGAGGACUCUGGCCAGACUGCCGUUGACAAAACGGAGGAAGGUGGGGAUGACGUCAAAUCAUCAUGCCCUUUAUGACUUGGGCUACACACGUACUACAAUGGCGUUAAACAAAGAGAAGCAAGACCGCGAGGUGGAGCAAAACUCAGAAACAACGUCCCAGUUCGGACUGCAGGCUGCAACUCGCCUGCACGAAGUCGGAAUUGCUAGUAAUCGUGGAUCAGCAUGCCACGGUGAAUACGUUCCC